GUUGUCCAAUUAAUAAAGGGCACGGCAGAAAUACCUCCCACAUUUUAAACUUUCACCUACGUGCUGCUAAUGAACUUAUGCAAGUGCCAAC